GUGCUCACUUGGCAGCACAUACACUAAACUAAAGUUGGAAUGAUACAGAGAAGAUUAGCAUGGCCCCUGCAAGAGGAUGACAUGCAAACUCAUGAGACGUUCCGUAUUUUA